rnacentral:rRNA from 1 species
UGGGGAAUAUUGCACAAUGGGCGCAAGCCUGAUGCAGCCAUGCCGCGUGUGUGAAGAGGCCUUCGGGUUGUAAAGCACUUUCAGCGAGGAGGAAGGUGUGAACUUAAUACGUUCAUCAAUUGACGUUACUCGCAGAAGAAGCACGGCUAACUCCGUGCCAGCAGCCGCGGUAAUACGGGAGGGUGCAAGCGUUAAUCGGAAUUACUGGGCGUAAAGCGCACGCAGGCGGUUUGUUAAGUCAGAUGUGAAAUCCCCGGGCUCAACCUGGGAACUGCAUUUGAAACUGGCAAGCUAGAGUCUCGUAGAGGGGGUAGAAUUCCAGGUGUAGCGGUGAAAUGCGUAGAGAUCUGGAGGAAUACCGGUGGCGAAGGNGCCCC